rnacentral:rRNA from 1 species
GACAGAGGGUGCAAACGUUGUUCGGAAUUACUGGGCGUAAAGCGUGCGCAGGCGGUUCGUUGUGUCGGCGGUGAAAGCCCCGGGCUUAACCUGGGAAUGGCCGUUGAAACUGGCGAACUGGAGUGUGGCAGAGGGGGGUGGAAUCCCGCGUGUAGCAGUGAAAUGCGUAGAGAUGCGGAGGAACACCGAUGGCGAAGGCAGCCCCCUGGGCUAACACUGACGCUCAGGCACGAAAGCGUGGGGAGCAAACAGG